UAGAGCCCUUGGACAAGCCGCUGAAGGAUGCUGAGACGACGUACCUAAAGUGGCUCGAGGAGAAGAGGCUCAAUACGGUUGAGACCGAGUUGGCAGCGGCAGAGGCCAAGCUUCAGGCUGCAUUACAGCAGGCGGAGUCUCGCUACCCAGCGGUGUGCCAAGACGAUGGGCCUCAG
rnacentral:snRNA from 14 species